GACGUAGGAGGCGAGCGUUGUCCGGAUUCAUUGGGCGUAAAGAGCGCGCAGGCGGCUUGGUAAGUCGGAUGUGAAAACCCGAGGCUCAACCUCGAGACGUCGGCGGAAACCAUCUGGCUAGAGUCCGGAAGAGGAGAGUGGAAUUCCUGGUGUAGCGGUGAAAUGCGCAGAUAUCAGGAAGAACACCCGUGGCGAAGGCGGCUCUCUGGGGCGGUACUGACGCUGAGACGCGAAAGCGUGGGGAGCGAACAGG
rnacentral:rRNA from 1 species